rnacentral:rRNA from 1 species
AGAGUUUGAUUCUGGCUCAGAACGAACGCUGGCGGCAGGCUUAACACAUGCAAGUCGAACGCCCCGCAAGGGGAGCGGCAGACGGGUGAGUAACGCGUGGGAAUGUACCCCAAGGUUCGGAACAACGCCGGGAAACUGGCGCUAAUACCGGAUGUGACCGAGAGGUGAAAGAUUUAUCGCCUUGGGAUCAGCCCGCGUUAGAUUAGCUAGUUGGUGGGGUAAUGGCCUACCAAGGCGACGAUCUAUAGCUGGUCUGAGAGGAUGAUCAGCCACACUGGGACUGAGACACGGCCCAGACUCCUACGGGAGGCAGCAGUGGGGAAUCUUGGACAAUGGGCGCAAGCCUGAUCCAGCCAUGCCGCGUGAAUGAUGAAGGCCUUAGGGUUGUAAAAUUCUUUCGUCGGGGACGAUAAUGACGGUACCCGAAGAAGAAGCCCCGGCUAACUUCGUGCCAGCAGCCGGUAAUACGAAGGGGGCUAGCGUUGUUCGGAAUUACUGGGCGUAAAGCGCGUGUAGGCGGAUUUUUAAGUCGGGGGUGAAAGCCCAGAGCUCAACUCUGGAACUGCCUUCGAUACUGGGAAUCUGGAGCAAGAUAGAGGCGGGUGGAAUUGCGAGUGUAGAGGUGAAAUUCGUAGAUAUUCGCAGGAACACCAGUGGCGAAGGCGACUCGCUGGAUCUUUGCUGACGCUGAGACGCGAAAGCGUGGGUAGCAAACAGGAUUAGAUACCCUGGUAGUCCACGCCGUAAACGAUGAGAGCUAGUUGUCGGCACGCAUGCGUGUCGGUGACGCAGCUAACGCAUUAAGCUCUCCGCCUGGGGAGUACGGCCGCAAGGUUAAAACUCAAAGAAAUUGACGGGGGCCCGCACAAGCGGUGGAGCAUGUGGUUUAAUUCGAAGCGACGCGCAGAACCUUACCCACGCUUGACAUGUCUCGUAUGAUUUCCAGAGAUGGAUUUCUUCAGUUCGGCUGGCGAGAACACAGGUGCUGCAUGGCUGUCGUCAGCUCGUGUCGUGAGAUGUUGGGUUAAGUCCCGCAACGAGCGCAACCCUCGCCUUUAGUUGCCAUCAUUUAGUUGGGCACUCUAAAGGAACUGCCGGUGGCAAGCCGGAGGAAGGUGGGGAUGACGUCAAGUCCUCAUGGCCCUUACGCGUGGGGCUACACACGUGCUACAAUGGCGGUGACAGAGGGUUAAUCCCUAAAAGCCGUCUCAGUUCGGAUUGUCCUCUGCAACUCGAGGGCAUGAAGUUGGAAUCGCUAGUAAUCGCGGAUCAGCAUGCCGCGGUGAAUACGUUCCCGGGCCUUGUACACACCGCCCGUCACACCAUGGGAGUUGGUUUUACCUUAAGACGGUGCGCUAACCGCAAGGAGGCAGCCGGCCACGGUAAGGUCAGCGACUGGGGUGAAGUCGAAACAAGGUA